UACGUAGGGUGCGAGCGUUGUCCGGAAUUAUUGGGCGUAAAGGGCUCGUAGGCGGUUUGUCGCGUCGGGAGUGAAAUCAUCUGGCUUAACUGGGUGCUUGCUUUCGAUACGGGCAGACUAGAGGUAUGCAGGGGAGAACGGAAUUCCUGGUGUAGCGGUGAAAUGCGCAGAUAUCAGGAGGAACACCGGUGGCGUAGGCGGUUCUCUGGGCAUGAUCUGACGCUGAGGAGCGAAAGUGUGGGGAGCGAACAGG
rnacentral:rRNA from 1 species